UACGGGGGGGGCAAGCGUUGUUCGGAAUUACUGGGCGUAAAGGGCUCGUAGGCGGCCAACUAAGUCGGACGUGAAAUCCCCAGGCUCAACCUGGGAACUGCGUCCGAUACUGGAUGGCUUGAAUUCGGGAGAGGGAUGCAGAAUUCCCGGUGUAGUGGUGAAAUGCGUAGAUAUCGGGAGGAACACCAGUGGCGAAGGCGACUACCUGGCCUGUUCUUGACGCUGAGGCGCGAAAGCUAGGGGAGCAAACGGG
rnacentral:rRNA from 1 species